GCUGAUAAUUUAUGAUUUGUGGAAUGAGCUUUACAGUUAGAUGGCAAUUACUGUUUUUAUAAACUUGGCUAAUCUAACAAUUUUUCUAUUUGCAUUGACAUACUCAGGAAUUAAUGAAAAGAAUAGGAACUCUUUGUGAAGGGGAAUAAAAAGAAUUUUUCAGUAAUUGUGCUGAAGCAAAAGGCAUUAAGUUAAAUCUACAAUUAUUUUAAAUUAAAAGCUUAAAGGCUAAUAGUAAGGAAAGAUAAACCAAAUUUGAAGAAAGGUUAUAUAUUAGUACUAAGAGGCUCUUUAUUUGCUGUAUUUUAGCCAAUAAAUUCCAGAGUUAAGAUUGUUAUGCUUCAAAUGCAGAUGUUUAUAGGUAUCUAUGUAUGCGUAUAUACAGGUAUCUGUGUAUACAUACACACACUCCAGCUUAUUUCUGAUUUAGAAGUUAAAACAUCCAUUCUCUUCUAAUAGGGAAACACUGUAAUUGUUAAAAUAAGAUUACUUUAAAUGCAGAACACUUAUUUUCUUCCUGCUGUGUGAUAAUAAGUCCUUUGAUUAUCUGAUGCAUUUCAGAAUUUAAUACUUAAAUAC
rnacentral:lncRNA from 1 species